rnacentral:tRNA from 1 species
GCCUGGGUGGCUCAGUCAGUUGGGCAUCCGACUUCAGCUCAGGUCAUGAUCUCACGGUCUGUGGGUUCGAGCCCCACAUUGGGCU